rfam:Nomascus leucogenys chromosome 1a, whole genome shotgun sequence.
CCAAAGGCUCUUUUCAGAGCCACCUACAAUUUCGUGGAAGAACUG